GAGGGGACACUGAGAGAACCGGACUUCGACAGGCCAAGAGGGCGAUGUUAGGAACGAUUUGUACGGAGAGUGGGCCAGAGAGCCUGGGAGAGACGGAAAAGAUGAGAGCGAGAGACCGGAGAGGUUGAGCGUGGAGGGAGGCAGAGCAGAGGGGGUGGAGCGUAGUGUAGACGCGCGCACGGAGGGAGGGUGGGCAGGGGGCGGGCGUGGAGCCGCCAGUAACAAUUACGUCUGGAUCCAAGCAAACAUGAGGCGGCUGCCAGCCCGGCGGCGGUGGCGGCAGUCCUGUUCGCCUCGACUGCGUUCAGGGGAGGCUGGCAACAGUUUCCUCCAGCGCCCAGGAUGCAGCGGGCAAAGGAGGUGAUGAAAGCGUCGGACGGCAGUCUCCUGGGCGACCCCAGGCGCACACCGCUGAGCAAGAAGGAGGGUGUCAAGUGGCAGAGGCCGAGGCUGACCCGCCAGGCUCUGAUGCGAUGCUGCCUGGUCAAGUGGAUCCUGUCCAGCGCGGCCCCGCAGGGCUCAGACAGCAGCGACAGUGAGCUGGAGCUGUCUGCCGUGCGCCACCAGCCUGAGGGGCUGGACCAGCUGCAGGCCCAGACCAAGUUCACCAAGAAGGAGCUGCAGUCCCUCUACAGGGGCUUCAAGAAUGAGUGCCCCACGGGCCUGGUGGAUGAAGACACGUUCAAACUCAUUUACUCACAGUUCUUCCCUCAGGGAGAUGCCACCACCUACGCACACUUCCUGUUCAAUGCCUUCGACGCUGACGGGAAUGGGGCCAUCCGCUUUGAGGACUUUGUGAUCGGUCUCUCCAUCCUCCUGCGAGGAACAGUCCAUGAGAAACUCAAGUGGGCCUUUAACCUCUACGACAUUAACAAGGAUGGCUACAUCACCAAAGAGGAGAUGCUGGCCAUCAUGAAGUCCAUCUAUGACAUGAUGGGCCGCCACACCUACCCCAUCCUGCGGGAGGACGCGCCCCUGGAGCACGUGGAGAGGUUCUUCCAGAAAAUGGACCGGAAUCAGGAUGGGGUGGUGACCAUUGACGAGUUCCUGGAGACGUGUCAGAAGGACGAGAACAUCAUGAGCUCCAUGCAGCUGUUCGAGAAUGUCAUCUAGGACGCGUGGGGUGGGGGCAGGCAGGCCCUGAGUGGCUGUGGCCUCCUCUGCCCCACAGAAACCUCAAUCCUGCCAGGAGCAGCCUCCAUGAGAAACUUUUUUUCUAAUAUAUUUGCAAAAAGUGAAUAUUUUGCUCCAGACAACCCCACCCCACACAGACACAGACAGACACACACACACAGACACACACACACAGACACACACACACACACCUCCUUCCUCUGGGCUGGCAGAUGGCAGGGCAGAGGUUAGGGAGGGGCCGAGUCUGGCUGGGAGCUGGGUCCGGGUGAUGAGAGCCACACAGCCCCUGGCCACCCUGGGCCAGCCUCUGGGAGCUGCUCUGGACUUUUUUAGGGCCGCACAUGCUGCAUAUGGAAGUUCCUGGGCUAGGGGUCAAAUUGGAGCUGCAGCUGCUGGCCAGUGCCACAGCCACAGCCACAGCAGAUCCGAACUGCUUCUGUGACCUGCACUACAGCUCACAGCAAUGCUGGAUCCUUAACCCACUGAGCAAGGCCAGGGAUCGAACCUUCGUCCUCAUGGAUGCUAGUCAGGUUUGCUGGCACUCCCUGCCCUCUGACUACACUUCCAGAAUAGCCCUCAGCGCAGGACCCCAGAUGGACAGCUGGGGGUCAAGGGAAUUUGGCCCAGGGAGGAGGUGACUGGACAGAGUCUGCUUUCCUGGAAAUGCUUCCCUGGGUCCCAGGACAUCUGCCAGGCCACACAGCUGUGUGUGCCGGUGGGGAGCGGCCAGCGGGCUCUGUCCUCCUUCAUCCCAGGAAAGGGGCUUUCAAGCUGGGGUUGGGUUUUUUGAUGGAGAAUCUGAGGGGAACUCUGCUGACUCCACUGGAGGUGGGAAGAAGCCUUCCUUUGCCCAGGCUGGCUCCGUGGGGAUGCAUGCUUACCCCGCCGGGGCCCCCAGGUCACUGUCAGUCCUGAGAAGGGGUCACCCGGCUCAGGGCUGGCAGCCAGGGAGUGUGGGGGGAAGGGAGGCAGAGCAGCCUGGGAAGGGGCUCCUCCAUCUGUCUUUCCUGUUGGCCCCUGUCACCCUCGGCCCAGCAGCUUGAAUGAGCCCCCUCCCCCCUUCCUGGUUGGGGUCCGGAAGCCGUGUGGCCGCCCCUCCACACAGGCUCACCUCAACCCCAUACAAAAAGCACAAGGGCCCUAGCAGCUCAGGCUGCAGCCCACGAGCGGACACUCUGCUCUUCAAGGCAAGGCCAUCCUGGUGGGCUGAGGCCUGCGUCCCACCAGCCCAGAUCAGGUGGCCCCAGGGUUCCUUGGGGGGUCAGUUCUGUGCCUCAGAGCAGUGGGGGACCCGAAGCCUACCGCCCACCCAGCCCAGCCCAGCCACCUUCAAAAGCACAAACCCUGGGGAUUCUGCUUGGCUGGAUUCUGCUCUUGAGGGCGAAGGCCAGUGUCAGUCUGAAGCUAGCGCCAGUGGGGGUCGAGGGGCUGUGGUCAGGUGGCAGGUCAACAGAAAUUUCCAAGACAGAGAGGCUGCUCCCACCUGGCCAGGUCGCCCCGGGAAGGAACCCAGUCUCAGGCCACAGGGGCCCUUCCCAGGAACAUUCCCAAAGCAAACAUUCCAUCGGCCGCUGCCCCAUCUCUGCUCAGUGAGCAGGGCNNNNNNNNNNNNNNNNNGCAGCGGAGGCCGUGGAGACUGGCCUGGCUCAGCCUUGGGGACCCCUUGGCACCCCCCUACGGGUGGUCCUCCCCCUUGGAGUGGCACCAACACCCAUCUCCAGUCUGACUGGGGGCUCCCUCUCCCCCCACUCCAGGAGGGCAUCAGCUUUCCCAGGCUCAGGGAAUCUUUUCCCACAUCCCUGCCCCCCACCCCCAGCCCAGCCCUCCCAGCUGGUGUGGCUUUGAUUCUAAGAGGCCAAGGCCACAUGAGAGGGUCACCACCAUGCCCUGCCCCAUGCCCUGCCCACCCCCUGACCUUGGGCCAGACUGGCUGCAGGUCCAGCAGAAAAGGCUGGGAUGCAGAGCAGCCUCAUGUCUGUAUGGCAGAAGUGUCUCCCUCGGGCGCGGCCUGUGGGGGUGGUUCCUGUUCUCAGCACCCACCAAUAUUCAGUCCUGUAUAUUUUAAUAAAAUAAACUUGACAAAGGA
ensembl:lncRNA